AGGGCACCACCAGGAGUGGAGCCUGCGGCUUAAUUUGACUCAACACGGGAAAACUCACCCGGCCCGGACACUGGAAGGAUUGACAGAUUGAGAGCUCUUUCUUGAUUCAGUGGGUGGUGGUGCAUGGCCGUUCUUAGUUGGUGGAGUGAUUUGUCUGGUUAAUUCCGAUAACGAACGAGACUCUAGCCUACUAAAUAGAUCGUCGGCUUACAAACGCCGGCGGGACUUCUUAGAGGGACGGGUGGCGGUUCAGCCGCACGAAAGAGAGCAAUAACAGGUCUGUGAUGCCCUUUGUUGUCCGGGGCCGCACGCGCGCUACACUGAAGAGAUCAGCGUGCUUUACGUUCCUGCUCCGACCGGAGUGGGGAACCCAGUGAACCUUCUUCGUGAUUGGGAUAGAAGAUUGUAAUUAUUCUUCUUGAACGAGGAAUUCCCAGUAAAUGCGAGUCAUAAGCUCGCGCUGAUUACGUCCCUGCCCUUUGUACACACCGCCCGUCGCUACUACCGAUUGAACGAUUU
rnacentral:rRNA from 1 species